rnacentral:lncRNA from 1 species
UUACAUUGUUAUUUUUCUAUUCACAACGUUUUAACUUUCACUUAGGUACAAUACCAGAGUCAUUUGGAUCGUUUCCAGGAGAAGUUCCUUACCUUAUCUUAUCACACAACCAGCUCUCCGGUUCUAUACCCAAAUCACUAGGCAACCUUGAUUUUAACCGGAUAGAUUUCUCAAGGAACAAGCUCACAGGCGAUGCUUCGAUGUUGUUUGGAGCCAACAAAACGACGUUUUCCAUUGACUUAUCAAGAAACAUGUUCCAGUUUGAUCUGUCCAGAGUUGUGCUCCCUCAGUCACUUGGUGUACUGGAUUUGAACCACAAUGGGAUCACAGGGAGUAUUCCGGUUCAGUGGACUGAAUAUUCUCUCCAACUCUUAAACGUUAGCUAUAACAGACUGUGUGGACCCAUCCCCACUGGAGGCAGUCUUCAGAGAUUUGAUUCUUAUAUAUAUUUUCACAACAAGUGUUUGUGUGGUGCACCUCUUGAUAGUUGCAAGUAAUAAACCAAGCUUAUCUCUAGUUUUCCCAAAAAAAAAAAUGUAAUAUCAUCCAGAUUGAUUAAAUAAAACAUGUAUCACAACUUGUAUUUUGAUGAGUUCUUAGAACAUUUUUAAAGUGAAAAUGAAGGUAGAGCUUACCACAAAUAGAGGAAGAAUAAGGACGAAUACUUAUCCUCUAUUUUCACUUAUAAGAGCAUGAUUAAUGGAGAGUUCUUAGGGUGAGGUUCUUAGCGGAAUAUAAAAAACCGUUUCUUGUUCUUAGCGGAAUAUAAAAAACCGUUUCUUAACUUUUAACUAAAAAAACUAAGAACCUUAUUUAACAUCUAGAGCUUCCGUGUCCGAAAGGUGUUUUUAACUUCUAAAUAGAGAAAGAAUAAAGAAGAAAAGAAUGUAAAGAAUGAUUUAGGUGCUUAUCCUUGAGCCAAACCAUAUUGCUAUCCCAUCUGCAUAUGUUCUGUUUCUGAUAGUCCUAUAGAUGCUUUUCUAGUUUGAUAGGUGGAGAAGGAUCAGCUCCAUGCUUUUUCUCUCACGCCAGAUGUUAUUUCAUGUCAGAUGCUUUUCUAGUCAUAUUUUAGUUUCAUGAAAUACAUUUAGAUGCUAUUUUCUUUUUGGUGCAUCUCAUUUUUCAAAUCCUGUUUUAAAUUAUAUAAAUUUUCUCAUUUCGAAAAUAAAACUAUUUGUGGAAACUGUUUUAAAAUUGUAUCAAAAGCAAAUUUCAUAUAUUGAAGCUUAAAAGUGCUUCGUGUAAGAUUAUAAACCCAAACAUUUAUAUACAUAUGAAUUUUUUUUUUUUAAUCAGAAAAUAGAAGCCGUGGCUGAGAGAGUAGUAGUACUCAAGUGGCACAUGUUGACUGCCAGCAUGUUGGCACCAGCCAACCAUAUUCAACACCGACAUCUUAAUCACACGUAUUGACUGACUAUUAAGGUUUCUAUCAAAUCAAAUAUCUAAUCUCGAUAGUGUUUAUAUCAUCGUCACACUUUCAACAAAAAAAAUAUUCAAAACCAAACACCAUACAACAUGGAUCAUAAGACAAACACGACACUGCUUUUCUCGCUCUUGUUUUUCAUCACGUACCUCAUCACCAUCGCGACAUCGAAAGAUCUAUGUAACCAAAACGACAAAAACACCCUCCUUAAAAUCAAGAAGUCCCUAAACAACCCUUACCACCUCGCCUCGUGGCACCCCGAAACCGACUGCUGCUCCUGGUACUGCCUCGAAUGCGGCGACGCCACAGUUAACCACCGCGUCAUCUCCCUAACCAUAUUCGCCGGUCAGAUAUCCGGUCAGAUCCCGCCUGAAGUCGGUGACUUACCGUAUCUUCAGAGUCUUAUGUUCCACAGGAUCACUAACAUCACCGGUCAGAUCCCAUCCACCAUCACCAAGCUUAAGUAUCUCCGUUCUCUCAGGCUUAGCUGGUUGAACCUCACCGGCCCGGUUCCUGAGUUUCUGAGUCAGCUCAUGAAUCUUGAAUACUUAAGCCUUUCCUUCAAUCAGCUCUCUGGUUCCAUACCUAGCUCUCUCGCUUUGUUACCUAAACUUUCUUACGUUGAUCUUAGUAGGAAUAAGCUUACAGGUACAAUAAGUACUCUCUUUGAUUCUAUUAUUUCUUUGGUGUAACUUUGAUUAUAUUUAUUCAUUGAUUUAAAUAUGAUUUGUUUUGAACUUUUUAAAAUAUGAUUAUUAACUGUACUUUUUUUUCUUCAAAUAUAACUUUCAUGCUUAGGUACAAUACCAGAGUCAUUUGGAUCGUUUCCAGCAGAACUUGCUUACCUUAUCUUAUCACACAACCAGCUCUCCGGUUCGAUACCCAAAUCACUAGGCAACCUUGAUUUUAACCGGAUAGAUUUCUCAAGGAACAAGUUCACAGGCGAUGCUUCGAUGUUGUUUGGUGCCAACAAAACGACGUUUUCCAUUGACUUAUCAAGAAACAUAUUCCAGUUUGAUCUGUCCAGAGUUGUGCUCCAUGAGUCACUU